GACGAACGCUGGCGGCGUGCUUAACACAUGCAAGUCGAACGGAAAGGCCCUGCUUUUGUGGGGUGCUCGAGUGGCGAACGGGUGAGUAACACGUGAGUAACCUGCCCUUGACUUUGGUAUAACUUCAGGAAACUGGGGCUAAUACCGGAUAGGAGCUCCUGCUGCAUGGUGGGGGUUGGAAAUUUUCGGCGGUUGGGGAUGGACUCGCGGCUUAUCAGCUUGUUGGUGGGGUAGUGGCUUACCAAGGCUUUGACGGGUAGCUGGCAUGAGAGGGUGACCGGGCACAUUGGGACUGAGAGACGGCCCAGACUCCUACGGGAGGCAGCAGUGGGGAAUAUUGCACAAUGGGCGGAAGCCUGAUGAAGCAACGCCGCGUGCGGGAUGACGGCCUUCGGGUUGUAAACCGCUUUCGCCUGUGACGAAGCGUGAGUGACGGUAAUGGGUAAAGAAGCACCGGCUAACUACGUG
rnacentral:rRNA from 1 species